rnacentral:tRNA from 1 species
GCAUUCGUGGUUCAGUGGUAGAAUUCUUGCCUUCCACGAGGGAGACCCGGGUUCAAUUCCCAGCCAAUGCG